rnacentral:tRNA from 1 species
ACCGAAAUAGCUCAGUUGGGAGAGCGUUAGACUAUAGAUCGAAAGGUCCCUGGUUUCAUCCCGUGAUUCGACC